UCGUCGUCUACGAGUUUACAGAUCUCUGCCACGGCUGCAUUCGCUAGCACCUCCAUGAUGGAGGCUAUUUGAGUGUGGAAAACCAUACCGUCAGCCAUUGUUAGCAGCUAGCAUUAACUAGAUAUCACCAAGUCCUGUCUCCAACGUGUAUUAAAGACUACAUAGGGAACAGGAGGGUUUAUCUCCAUCAGCCCCAGGACAUGCUUCAUCCCUGCACUGAGACUGUGAAGAGAAGGGUCUGGGCUGCAGACUGGAUCCCUGACUGGAGCCUCUGUCUCUCUGAUGACCACCAGGACUGAGGUUGUUCAGUCCACCUGUCCACUGGUUGUGUUCUGUGUGGUGGUGGGGUCUCUGUUCCUCGUGGGUCCGUCCUGGUUCCGACUCAGGAAGGAUGAUCGAUGGCUCCUGAUCCAAGGUGCUGGGCCCGGGUUUGUGACCAGCCGUUUCAGAGGUCCACUCUCUCCUGCCAGCAACACCAGAUAUCAGCAGGUCCUCAUGAACUACAGACUAAACACAAAUUGUACAAAAGAGCAUAUAAAAAGGUUCAUAUAAGAAACUCUGCUGUAGACACAGAAACAUGACAUAUUAUAAAAUGUUAAACCACAGUCAAGCCUCUAACACUGAUUCAAGUACCUAACGAUAUGGAGCCAUUGGAGUUAAUUAUUUAAAAAAUGUACAUGUGUUAAUUCGAGAAUGAAGUAUAAUGUUUUGGUUCGACUGAGAUAAGGGAAACUCAGUCCCUGCAAUGAUACAAAAAUAACCAAGUCAGUCAGCACAGAAUGAAUUUUGUAUUUUAUUUCAACAAAAUGGUCAUACACUCACAAUGUAAACUACAGUACUUUUUAUUGCACAAAACAAUAAGUAGGGUUGUGGUGGUCAUGACAUUUUGUCAGCUGGUUGUCAUGCAAAAGCCUGCUGGUCUCAUGGUAAUUGACCAGUAAUUAACAUAAACAGGUUGAGCAUCUCCAGCCCUCCAUGCAUACAAGCUGCUGAUGAACUUUUGAACAUCUACAUUUAAAAAUACAUAAUAAAUCAAUUGAAUAUACACCAUCACAACAAAGCCAUGAUUUAUUUUAGGCAAGUCUAAAGAAACAUGAUGUGAAGAAAAUGUAUUUCAGAAGAAUAGAAUGAGUUGCCCUACUGUACACUGUCAAAAAUAAAUAUCAUGUUAUGGCUA